rnacentral:rRNA from 1 species
AGAGUUUGAUCAUGGCUCAGAACGAACGCUGGCGGCAUGCCUAAUACAUGCAAGUCGAACGAGAAAGUUCUUCGGAAUGAGUAUAGUGGCGCACGGGUGAGUAACACGUAGGUGACACGCCCUUGAGNNGGGGACAACAGAAAGAAAUUUCUGCUAAUACCGCAUGAUUUGAUAGGGAUUGAAUUUCUAUCAAUAAAGAUGCGCAAGCUAUCGCUUGGGGACUGGCCUGCGGGGCAUUAGUUUGAUGGUGGGGUAAUGGCCUACCAUGGCGAUGAUGCCUAGCCGGUCUGAGAGGAUGAUCGGCCACACUGGGACUGAGACACGGCCCAGACUCCUACGGGAGGCAGCAGUAGGGAAUAUUGCGCAAUGGAGGAAACUCUGACGCAGCAAUGCCGCGUGUGUGAGGAAGGCCUUCGGGUUGUAAAGCACUGUCGCAGGGGAAAAACCGCACUCAUUCGAAUAGGGUGAGUGCCUGAUGGUACCCUGAAAGGAAGCACCGGCUAACUCCGUGCCAGCAGCCGCGGUAAUACGGAGGGUGCAAGCGUUGUUCGGAUUUAUUGGGCGUAAAGCGCGCGCAGGCGGAUGAUCAAGUCAGGUGUGAAAUCUCGGGGCUUAACUCCGAAACUGCGCCUGAAACUGGUUAUCUAGAAUACUUAAGAGGGCAGGGGAAUUUCGCAUGUAGGGGUAAAAUCCGUAGAGAUGCGAAGGAACACCAGAGGCGAAGGCGCCUGCCUGGGAAGUUAUUGACGCUGAGGGCGAAAGCGUGGGGAGCAAACAGGAUUAGAUACCCUAGUAGUCC